AUUUUUUGUUACAGGUUGUUUCAGAUUUUAUUAUAUUACACAAGUCAUUUCUGUACUAGUGAGGCAUAAUAAAGCAUGUUCAUUAACCUCUGAGGAGCCUGUCUGGAUUUGUCUCAAAGCCGGGCUG